GUUUAUUAUUGUUCGCUGAAAGCAACAUGCACUACCACGUGCACGAAGCCUUAGCGGUGGUGUGAGCCGCCUACGUCAGCAAGGCUUUACCUUGUUCUGGAUUAGUACAUUAGGGAAAACCAUGGGAGUGCAACGUGACAUGACCUCGAGGCGGAACAGAUAUAUUGGGGGCGGAGGGAGAAUUGACGGCGCUAAAGAACUUUUGUUUACUCACCGCAGCCACAGCCGGUGGUCACGAGUACAUCGUGAUUUCCGUGAUUGAUUGUAAGGUUGGAAUUCCAGACAUAGACUAUCAUUGUUGGCCUUAAGUCAUUGGAGCUCUAUACUCCCUCUGUACUGAACACAGAAGACAACAAAGCUUUAUACUUUAGAAAUUAGUUCCAGUGUACCUGCUACAGCAUUAGGAUAAUGUAGUGAACAGUGUUUUCAUGCUGUCAAGUGGAGCACAAAUGCAAAAGGCACGAGAAAAAAAUAUGAGAAAGUAAAAAACUGACAGUAAAGUGAAUUCAAUCAAAUGGUAUCUAGCAAUGACAACAGCAAGAAGUUCAUUCAAGUGACACAUUCAUCCUUCUCCUCACAUCUCCUUGCAAUCUCAGAAAUGUACUUUGUGGAACACAAUAUCAGACUUCUAGUUAAUGACAAAUAAUGUGACAAUGGACAGACAACAGUUUGCAUGCUGUUAGCAAUACUUAAAAUAUUUAAGUUUUACACAACACAGUGAUCUAAACAAUGUGUCUAAAUAUGUAUUCAGACCCCCCCAUAAAAUUAAUAGUUAACUGUAUUCAAAUUCUGCAUCACCUGUUUUAUUUUUCUCAGUUCACUUCAAUUAUACCUUGUGCCACAGGGAUAGUUAUCCAAGAGGUGGAAUUUAUUCAUUACAUACUAUCCAGAGUGCAGAUGUCCAUACACUGAUGCCAGGCUUGUAUGUGCUACAGACGGCAACCUAAAUUAAAUGUUCCACUUUUUUCUUUAAAUAGUGAACUAUAGUUCACUGCCAGGGACCACUGCCAGUCCAGAGUAUGCAAUGCCAAAUGGAGCACAAAUGAGGAAAAAAGUACUGAAAUAGAGGAAACAUUAUGAAACAUAUAUUUAAAAUGUAUGCUUUUGAUAUUUCUUCAUAUUGUCUGUGUUUCAACAUGAACUUAUUCUCAGUAAAUAUCAUUAUAUUCACAUAAACAAAGCCAUAUUAGUAUUAGAUCCCCAGGACACCAGGGCAUUCUCAAGACACAGUUCAGAUUCUCAUUACUAUGUGUCACACAGACAUUAUGCUGUGUAGAAGGAUUGCCUAUACUCAGUAUGUGACAUUGUAGCAAUAUACGUUACAGGUACAACAGAAAAAAAAUCCUAACGUGUGUUGUGUAAUUUAGAGUUAGAUGUGUGGAUGGCUGUUAUACAGACAAAGGAGCAAAUAAUAUUUCUGCAUAAAUAUAAAAUAAAUCA